rnacentral:rRNA from 1 species
GACGAACGCUGGCGGCGUGCCUAAUACAUGCAAGUCGAGCGAGCGGAACUAACAGAUUUACUUCGGUAAUGACGUUAGGAAAGCGAGCGGCGGAUGGGUGAGUAACACGUGGGGAACCUGCCCCAUAGUCUGGGAUACCACUUGGAAACAGGUGCUAAUACCGGAUAAGAAAGCAGAUCGCAUGAUCAGCUUUUAAAAGGCGGCGUAAGCUGUCGCUAUGGGAUGGCCCCGCGGUGCAUUAGCUAGUUGGUAAGGUAAAGGCUUACCAAGGCGAUGAUGCAUAGCCGAGUUGAGAGACUGAUCGGCCACAUUGGGACUGAGACACGGCCCAAACUCCUACGGGAGGCAGCAGUAGGGAAUCUUCCACAAUGGACGCAAGUCUGAUGGAGCAACGCCGCGUGAGUGAAGAAGGUUUUCGGAUCGUAAAGCUCUGUUGUUGGUGAAGAAGGAUAGAGGUAGUAACUGGCCUUUAUUUGACGGUAAUCAACCAGAAAGUCACGGCUAACUACGUGCCAGCAGCCGCGGUAAUACGUAGGCGGCAAGCGUUGUCCGGAUUUAUUGGGCGUAAAGCGAGCGCAGGCGGAAGAAUAAGUCUGAUGUGAAAGCCCUCGGCUUAACCGAGGAACUGCAUCGGAAACUGUUUUUCUUGAGCGCAGAAGAGGAGAGUGGAACUCCAUGUGUAGCGGUGGAAUGCGUAGAUAUAUGGAAGAACACCAGUGGCGAAGGCGGCUCUCUGGUCUGCAACUGACGCUGAGGCUCGAAAGCAUGGGUAGCGAACAGGAUUAGAUACCCUGGUAGUCCAUGCCGUAAACGAUGAGUGCUAAGUGUUGGGAGGUUUCCGCCUCUCAGUGCUGCAGCUAACGCAUUAAGCACUCCGCCUGGGGAGUACGACCGCAAGGUUGAAACUCAAAGGAAUUGACGGGGGCCCGCACAAGCGGUGGAGCAUGUGGUUUAAUUCGAAGCAACGCGAAGAACCUUACCAGGUCUUGACAUCUAGUGCCAUUUGUAGAGAUACAAAGUUCCCUUCGGGGACGCUAAGACAGGUGGUGCAUGGCUGUCGUCAGCUCGUGUCGUGAGAUGUUGGGUUAAGUCCCGCAACGAGCGCAACCCUUGUUAUUAGUUGCCAGCAUUAAGUUGGGCACUCUAAUGAGACUGCCGGUGACAAACCGGAGGAAGGUGGGGAUGACGUCAAGUCAUCAUGCCCCUUAUGACCUGGGCUACACACGUGCUACAAUGGGCAGUACAACGAGAAGCGAGCCUGCGAAGGCAAGCGAAUCUCUGAAAGCUGUUUUCAGUUCGGACUGCAGUCUGCAACUCGACUGCACGAAGCUGGAAUCGCUAGUAAUCGCGGAUCAGCACGCCGCGGUGAAUACGUUCCCGGGCCU